UACGGGGGAGCAAGCGUUGUUCGGAUUUACUGGGCGUAAAGGGCGCGUAGGCGGCCAGCACAAGUCAGUUGUGAAAUCUCCGAGCUUAACUCGGAACGGUCAACUGAUACUGUGCGGCUAGAGUGCGGAAGGGGCAACUGGAAUUCUUGGUGUAGCGGUGAAAUGCGUAGAUAUCAAGAGGAACACCUGCGGCGAAGGCGGGUUGCUGGGCCGACACUGACGCUGAGGCGCGAAAGCCAGGGAGCGAACGGG
rnacentral:rRNA from 1 species